rnacentral:tRNA from 1 species
GCCUUCGUGGUGUAGUGGUCAGCACGAUCGACUCGUAACGAGAGGCCCGUGGUUCGGUUCCUGGCGAAGGCG